GAGGAAAGUCCGGGCACCACAGGGCAGGAUGCGGCUAACGGCCGGCGCCGUGAGGCGACGGAAAGUGCAACAGAAAGAUACCGCCGAUGGCCCGCGAGGGCUCAGGCAAGGGUGAAAUGGUACGGUAAGAGCGCACCGCUCCAGCGGCAACGUCUGGAGUCGGCAAACCCCAUCCGGUGCAAGACCAAAUAGGGGAGCGUUGGCGUGGCCCGCGUCGCUCCCGGGAUGGUUGCUAGAGGCUGCGGGCAACCGCGGUCCCAGAGGAAUGGCUGUCACGGCGUGAAAGCGCCGACAGAACCCGGCUUA
rnacentral:RNase_P_RNA from 1 species